CAGUAGCCACGGUAAUACGAAGGGUGCAAGCGUUACUCGGAAUUACUGGGCGUAAAGCGUGCGUAGGUGGUGGUUUAAGUCCGUUGUGAAAGCCCUGGGCUCAACCUGGGAAUUGCAGUGGAUACUGGGUCACUAGAGUGUGGUAGAGGAUAGUGGAAUUUCCGGUGUAGCAGUGAAAUGCGUAGAGAUCGGAAGGAACAUCUGUGGCGAAGGCGACCAUCUGGGCCAACACUGACACUGAGGCACGAAAGCGUGGGGAGCAAACAGGAUUAGAUACCCCGGUAGUCCCUGUCUCUUAUCA
rnacentral:rRNA from 1 species